rnacentral:tRNA from 1 species
GGUGGGGUAGCUCAGCUGGUUAGAGCGAUGGAUUCAUAACCCAUAGGUCGCGAGUUCAAGUCUCGCCCUCACCACCA